AGCGAACGCUGGCGGUAGGCCUAACACAUGCAAGUCGAACGAAGUCUUCGGACUUAGUGGCGGACGGGUGAGUAACACGUGGGAACGUGCCUUUAGGUUCGGAAUAACUCAGGGAAACUUGUGCUAAUACCGAAUGUGCCCUUCGGGGGAAAGAUUUAUCGCCUUUAGAGCGGCCCGCGUCUGAUUAGCUAGUUGGUGAGGUAAAGGCUCACCAAGGCGACGAUCAGUAGCUGGUCUGAGAGGAUGAUCAGCCACAUUGGGACUGAGACACGGCCCAAACUCCUACGGGAGGCAGCAGUGGGGAAUCGUGCGCAAUGGGCGAAAGCCUGACGCAGCCAUGCCGCGUGAAUGAUGAAGGUCUUAGGAUUGUAAAAUUCUUUCACCGGGGACGAUAAUGACGGUACCCGGAGAAGAAGCCCCGGCUAACUUCGUGCCAGCAGCCGCCGUAA
rnacentral:rRNA from 1 species